GUCCACGCCGUAAACGAUGGGCACUAGGUGUGGGAGGUGUCGACUCCUCCCGUGCCGUCGCUAACGCACUAAGUGCCCCGCCUGGGGAGUACGGCCGCAAGGCUAAAACUCAAAGGAAUUGACGGGGGCCCGCACAAGCAGCGGAGCAUGUGGUUUAAUUCGACGCAACGCGAAGAACCUUACCUGGGCUUGACAUGUAGGUGACCGCCGUGGAAACACGGUUUUCCUUCGGGACACCUUCACAGGUGGUGCAUGGCUGUCGU
rnacentral:rRNA from 1 species